AUUUUUGAAAAUUUUGAUCCCUCAUACAGUUCUUCGUUCAUGUCAUUAAGUAGCGCGUAGAACUUCGCCGCUUCUUCAUUCGGCUCUUCAUGAGGUACACUACUUCCCGGUUCGGUAAAAGCAUUUCUCCCAAUAUUACAAUCAUCAAAAGCCACAAAGUCCGUUGGGAACGACUGGACACCAUGAUUGUGCAUAUUAAAUGCAUCCCGCAACAUACCUUCCAUGUCAUCCCCUCUAUCAGACUGAUGGUAAGCAGUACCAGAGUAAGAUACAUCCAUCGUUGAAGAGGAAGUACUAGGCGGGCAUUCUCCAUGAAAUAACCAUUGUUUAUAACCCCGAACAAACCCAUCAACAAUUAGAUGCUCGUAUACAA
rnacentral:lncRNA from 1 species